rnacentral:rRNA from 1 species
GGGUGGGGGGCGGGGAUAGGGAUGCAGUCGACGAUACCGCAGGUAUAGUGGCAAAAGGGCGAGUAACACGUGAGCAAUCUACCUUCGUGUGGGGAACAACCUUGGGAAACCGAGGCUAAAACCGCAUAAGACCACGGCCUGCAUCAGGCUGUGAUCAAAUGGGGGGACCGCAAGGCCUCUAGCAUGAAGAUGAGCUCGCGUCCUAUCAGCUUGUUGGCGGGGUAAUGGCCCACCAAGGCUUUUGACGGGUAGCUGGACUGAGAGGUUGGUCAGCCGCAUUGGGACUGAGACACUGCCCAGACUCCUACGGGAGGCUGCAGUCGAGGAUAUUUAGCAAUGCCCGAAAGGGUGACUAUGCGACGCCGCGUGUGCGAUGAAGGUCUUCGGAUUGUAAAGCACUGUCAGCUGGGAGGAAUCUCGGGGGAUCGAAUAGAUCCGCCGGGUGACAGUACCAGCAGAGGAAGCCACGGCUAACUCCGUGCCAGCAGCCGCGGUAAUACGGAGGUGGCAGGCGUUACUCGGAUUGAUUGGGUGUAAAGGGCGUGUAGGCGGUGCGCUAAGUCGAGUGUGAAAUCCCUUGGCUCAACCAAGGAACUGCGCUCGAAACUGGCGUGCUUGAGUGUUGGAGAGGUAAGCGGAAUUCCCGGUGUAACAGUGAAAUGUGUAGAUAUCGGGAGGAACACCAGUGGCGAAGGCGGCUUACUGGACAACUACUGACGCUGAAACGCGAGAGCAUGGGGAGCAAACAGGAUUAGAUACCCUGGUAGUCCAUGCCGUAAACGAUGUGCACUAUGUGUCGGCCCCUCUGGGGUCGGUGCCGCAGUUAACACUUUAAGUGCACCACCUGGGGAGUACGGUCGCAAGACUGAAACUCAAAGGAAUUGACGG